CAAUUGCACCUACAUAGCUUAAAUGCACCAGAUUUCAUAUGAUCUUGGAAGCAAAGCAGAAUCAGUCCUGGUUAGUACUUGAAUGGGAGACCGCCAAUGAAUAAAUACCAGGAAUCAAAUUGC
rnacentral:rRNA from 1 species